AGCGCGCGCGCGAGUCACCGGGAACCGAUAAACCCGUAGGCGCAAUGAAAGUGAAGGUCCGCCUCGAGCGGACCGAGGGAGGAUCGGCGGCGUCUUUAAAACGCGCCGCCGCGCACUCCCGGGGCGUCUCGCACUCAUUGCGAGGCGAGGCGCACCACGAGCGCGCGCGCUGGGACCCGAAAGAUGGUGAACUAUGCCUGGUCAGGACGAAGUCAGGGGAAACCCUGAUGGAGGUCCGUAGCGAUUCUGACGUGCAAAUCGAUCGUCGGAACUGGGUAUAGGGGCGAAAGACUAAUCGAACCAUCUAGUAGCUGGUUCCCUCCGAAGUUUCCCUCAGGAUAGCUGGCGCUCGCGCGAAACGAUUUUACGAGUCUCAUCCGGUAAAGCGAAUGAUUAGAGGCAUUGGGGUCGAAACGGCCUCAACCUAUUCUCAAACUUUAAAUGGGUGAGAUCUCCGGCUUGCUUGAAUCGUGAAGCCGGAGGU
rnacentral:rRNA from 1 species